GGCCUUAUGGUCUAGUAGCAUGAUUCUUCCUUUGGGCAACAGAUUACUCUGUAAGAUUGGAAGAGGUCCUGGGUUCAAUUCCCAGUGAGGCCC